GCCAGGGUCAAAUUUUAGUUGUAUGUGCACUGACCUAUUCAUUACUUUCUCAUGAAUCGACUGCCACCACCCGAUCUUCCCCGGGUUGACGCCCAAAGAGAUGCAGUCCUACUCAGCUAAGUUGAAGAAAAGCCAGGGCUUCGAUGUUGAUGACUUCUCUCAUGCCGUUGGCCACCUAAUUCAACCGGCUCGACCUGGCCAAAUCGACCCUGUCCACUACAACCAUUUUCUUCACCUUGCUGUUGCUAAUUGCCGUGCCUACCAGUGCACGUUGAUAUGCAAUCCCGACUUCUGAAGCCAAAUUAUGAACCGUGAGGCAGUGGUUAUAUUCUCUAUAUGACAUUCGAGGCCCUGGAUUGUGCAGCCGGUACUGUUAAAGUGGUCAAAGAUUAUACCUGCGAUGCCUCGUGGUGUCUCUGCCCCUUCUCGCCCCGUGAUCUUGGAUUUUAACCGCCGACGGUCUGGUUUUUUAUUAGAACCAUACGAGGAGGGAUUAUAUUUCUGGUUUGCUUGCCGGUUCUGUAGGAAGGUGGGAAAUUGUAAGUUAUGCUAAACGUGAAGCAGCUUUGACUGGACAACUAACAGCUAACUAGGUAGCUGUUCCGGGGUUAGCUUGGUCCCGAGAUGAGGAAUGAUGUAGUAGAAACGGAAGUCCAUCGACUUUGAAUAGACAUACUACUUAUAUCCUGAUCAAUGUAAUUAAGCAACGGUUAAGCUAAUGACGUAUACGUAUG